rnacentral:rRNA from 1 species
GGGAUAGAAUUCCAGGAGUAGCGGUGAAAUGCGUAGAUAUCUGGAGGAAUACCAAAGGCGAAGGCAGUCCCCUGGUCCGAUACUGACACUGAGGUACGAAAGCGUGGGGAGCAAACAGGAUUAGAUACCCUGGUAGUCCACGCCCUAAACGAUGUCGAUUAGCCAUUGGAAGGACCCCUUUUCCUUUCAGUGACGUAGCUAGCGCGUUAAAUCGACCGCCUGGGAAGUACGACCGCAAGGUUAAAACUCAAAGGAAUUGACGGGGACCUGAACAAGCGGUGAAUGAUGUGGAUUAAUUCGAUGCUACGCGAAGAACCUUACCUACCUUUGACAUGGCCAAAGUUCUACCGAGAGGCGGAAGUACUCGUAAGAGGAUUGGCGCACAGGUGCUGCAUGGUUGUCGUCAGUUCGUGUCGUGAGAUGUUGGGUUCAGUCCCGCCACGAACGCAACCCUUAUCUUUAAUUGCUCCUAUUUUAACAGGCACUUUAAAGAAACUGCCAAUGAUAAGUUGGAGGAAGGUGGGGAUCACGUCAAGUCCGCAUGGCCUUUAUAGGUAGGGCUUCACACGUCAUACAAUGGUUAGAACAAAGAGCUGCAAAUUCGUAAGAAGGAGCCAAUCUCACAAACCUAACCUCAGUUCGAAUUGCGGUCUGCAACUCGAGCGCAUGAAGCCGGAAUCGCUAGUAAUCGUGGAUCAGAAUGCCACGGUGAAUACGUUCUUAGGUCUU